rnacentral:rRNA from 1 species
UACUACAAGCGCUAGCUUAAAACCCAAAGGACUUGGCGGUAUCCCACACCCACCUAGAGGAGCCUGUUCUAUAACCGAUAAUCCCCGUUCAACCUCACCACUUCUUGCCAUUACCGUCUAUAUACCGCCGUCGUCAGCCCACCCUGUGAAGGAUUAAAAGUAAGCAAAAAGAAUAAAACUCCAAAACGUCAGGUCGAGGUGUAGCAAAUGAAGUGGGAAGAAAUGGGCUACAUUUUUUCCCAAAAACAUACGAAUGGUAAACUGAAAACACACCUAAAGGUGGAUUUAGCAGUAAGAGAAGAUCAGAAUACUUCUCUGAAAUCGGCUCUGGGAUAAGCACACACCGCCCGUCACUCUCCUCAAAAACAAUUCACUCCCUUCUAUAAAUCCAUUUCCCCAAUAAGAGGAGGCAAGUCGUAACAUGGUAAGUGUACUGGAAAGUGUACUUGGAAUCAAAA